rnacentral:misc_RNA from 1 species
GAUGAAGAACGCAGCGAAAUGCGAUACUUGGUGUGAAUUGCAGAAUCCCGUGAACCAUCGAGUCUUUGAACGCAAGUUGCGCCCCAAGCCAUUAGGCCGAGGGCACGCCUGCCUGGGCGUCACACGUCGUUGCCCCCCCAUCUACUCCUUCGGGAUUGCGGGGGGCGGAUGAUGGCCUCCCGUGCGCCUCGCCGCGCGGUUGGCAUAAAUGCCAAGUCCUCGGCGACGCACGCCACGACAAUCGGUGGUUGCGAAACCUCGGUUGCCCGUCGUGUGCGGUCGUCGCGCAUCGAGGGCUCGAAAAAAUUGCCGGGUUCCGGCUCGGCUUUCAACGCGACCCCAGGUCAGGCGGGGUUACCCGCUGAAUUUAAGCAUAUCAAUAAGCGGAGGA